rnacentral:misc_RNA from 1 species
AACGCACAUUGCGCCCGGCAGUAAUCUGCCGGGCAUGCCUGUCCGAGCGUCAUUUCAACCCUCGAACCUCCGUUUCCUUAGGGAAGCCUAGGGUCGGUGUUGGGGCGCUACGGCGAGUCCUCGCGACCCCCGUAGGCCCUGAAAUACAGUGGCGGUCCCGCCGCGGUUGCCUUCUGCGUAGUAAGUCUCUUUUGCAAGCUCGCAUUGGGUCCCGGCGGAGGCCUGCCGUCAAACCACCUAACAACUCCAGAUGGUUUGACCUCGGAUCAGGUAGGGUUACCCGCUGAACUUAA